AUCGCAUCUUCCACAAAUAAUAUAAUAUAAAACCGAAAAAAGAAAAAAAAAGACGAUUUUUUAAAAAAAUCUGCAAAAAAAUAACUACAUAAAAAGUCACAUACACAAAAUUUUCUCAAAAAUAAGCACCCAAAUUUUGUGCACAAAACACACAAACAAAUAAUGUAUGUAUAGUUGGGAAUACUAAUUCCUCAUCUUCUAGUCUUCUUAAAUCCGCAAAAACCAACACAAGAAAAUAAAACACACGCAUAUUCACCGCAGUUAUUCAAAACAGUUUGAUCAUAGUGAGGAAGCCAAAUGCUAAUCAGCAAAACACCAUUACUGCUGAUGGAAGAGAAGUGGCCAGGGGUACCAAUGGAUUGGUCCUACAGAACUGUAGAAUAGUUCCAGAAAAGGAACUCUUCCAAUUGAGAUUCCAAAUUCCCACCUACCUCGCGCGCCCGUGGAAGGCAGAAGCCCUUACCGUCACUAUGCAAAGCGAAUUGGGUGAUCUGAUCCGCCCUGAGGGCUAUAUGAAAUGGGACGGCGCAAGCUAUAAUCAAACUUGUGAGUUCUAAGAGUUUGCAAACCGCGACCCUGGAUCCGGCACCAGUAAAAGAAGCAAAGAAUUCAAAAAAUUCAAAGUUCUCAAUGCAGGCGAAGCUGCCAAAUACACUCCCGGCCAAUUUCUUUCUGGUUCCCAACGGUUGAAGAUAUAGAGGGGUUUCUAUUCUUUUAUAAAUUAAAAUUUUAUAAUAUUUUCUGAAAG
rnacentral:lncRNA from 1 species